AAUUUUUGUAACACAUCAGCAACAACAAUUUCCCCUCCUUUGUUCUUAUACUUUCGACUAAGGUUGUAUCGCAAAUGAUGAUAACAGUAAAGAUGAGGAUUACUAGGAAAAAUGAGAUCAAAUGCCUUCAACAAACCAACACCACGAUCACUAAUGAAUGUGAUAAUCCUUCCUUGCGGUUCCAACAAAGCCUUCAAGUUCUUGAAGAAAAACAACCAGUUUUCUUCAGUCUCUGAAUCACAAAAACACAAGGCUAAAUGGAAGAAACCUGCAUAAUAAAAAAACAAACAAACAAUUACUAGGGGCAGUAAAAUAAACAGCAGCGUGCCGCUGCACCGCUAACGGGAGCGUUCCGCUCCAAAAAAUGAAAAGUCUAACAAACCAUAAAAACUAUAAAGAAAACAUAUUUGAAUCAGAAGAAUGAAGAUUUCAAAAAUUACUGGGGGGUAGUAAAAUAUAUAGAGGCAAAAAAAUACAAUUGACUACCCCCAGUAAGCUUCUACUGGGGGUAGUAAACCUGCAAAACAGUAUCUCCAAAGGCUAUUAUACACAUUAAAACAGUGAAAAAUCAACUUAGAUGCGAAAUAAUAAAGUUUACUGGGGGUAGUAUCGUUUAAAAUAGAGAUUACUACCCUAGUAAUCUUCUACUGGGUGUAGUAAACUUGCAAAACAAUAUCCCCAAAGGCCGUAAUACACAUUAAAACGUGCUUCUGCACAACUAAUUGGAGCGUUCCUUUCCAAAACUAAAGACUAACAAAAAAAAAAAUAUCAGAAGCAUGAAGAUUUUCAAAAUUACUAGGGCUAGCGUUCAGCUUCAAAACGAAAGGCUAACAAAAGAGAAGAAACAUAAAAAGCAGCAUGCCGCUGCACCGCUAACGGGAGCGUUCCGCUCCAAAAACAUAACAUGUACAACUAAAAACAUGAAAAAAUUACUAACAAUUACUAGGGGUAGUAAAAUAACAGGAGGUACAUUUGUUUCCAUUUCUUCCAGUUGCAGCAAGAAUCUGCUCCUUGUAUUUGCUCUUUCCAAAGGCACCAUCAACAUAUAAAACAGGUAGGCUGAACUUGAAACCCUGAAUUUGGCCGGCAUAAGCUACAAAAACCCUUUUAAACCUCUCGGUACUCUCAUCAACUUCAAGAACAACUGAAGAACCCGGAUUAGUCUCCAACACAGCUUCCCUAAACCAGCUUAACAUAGAAAAAGAAUCACAUUUCGAGCCAUACAUCUUUUCCACACACCUUUUUUUGCUCUUGAAGCAACCUUAUAACUAAUUUCAUAACCAUAAGUGGACUUGAAAUUGCUCAUGAUCUCACAGGGAUUCAAACCAAGAUUCAGACAGACAGUAGACUCAAUGCAGGUCCUAACAAUUUU
rnacentral:lncRNA from 1 species